GUUUCAAUCCCUCACAGGUGGGCUACAAAC
rnacentral:other from 1 species